GAGGCGGUGGCCUGAGCCUGCCGGCUGUGCUCUGGCGGCUGCUGCUUGCGGCCGGCUGGGCUCGGGCCAGUUCUCCUGCCACUUCGCGAAGGGAGGCGAGCCCUGGAGUUGCCGCAAGCGCUCCUGCUCCCACCCCCCUCCAGCAGCCUGGGGGCUCCGAGGGGUGGGGGCUGCAGCCUGGUGCCGGGAAGUCCCCUCUUGUUCCUGGCAGCAGCCAGACGGGCAGGAGCUGUGCAUCAAAAGGCCACUUGCUAGCCCAGCAACUUCCAGAUUGGCCUUGGUAGUGCCCCAGGGAAGGGCUGGGUGCUGCUCCCAGCUCCUGGUGCCAUGCAGGAACAGCUGACAUGGCCUCUUCUGGCUUGGCUCCUUUCUCCUGUUUCUCUCUGGUUUCUCUCCUUCAGGCAGUCAAUUUUAUUCUCCUUGUUUGUCUUUCUUGCAGAUUCUCCUCACCCCCAUCUUGAUUAUUCUGUUGGGCAUUUAACUUCUCAUUCCCUCCCCCUGCUCCCACACCGCAAAGGCUGAGUUAAGAGCUGCGGGAGCAACGAAGAGAACCUCAGCAGGCAGGCUGCUGGCUGGGUUGGCAGCCGGUCCAUGUGCGCUGUGGUUACAGCCUGCUGCAUUAGUGGCUGUACUCAGGGAAGCCUGCUCCUGAUUCCUCCCUCCUGAGGCAGUGGCCACUGCUAAUCUUUCAGUGCCCCCUUGUAUUUCUUCCAUGGCCAUUGAAGACGCUCAUCCAUCUGUGCUGCCUGGGCCAGGAGCUGCUGGCGGGAGUGUUCUGCGAGCUGCACAGUAAAGCCAGGUGUCAUUGCACCCUUCCAACAAGAGUGUGUUUAUGGUUUUAUCUCACUUGACUGUGUGGGCCGUGCCCAGAACAGGAAACUCUUCGGUUCCUUACGGCCCAGGGUAGGCAGUGACGUGAGUGCCUGCUGGGCGUCAGCCACUCACCAUGGCAUACGUGGUUGGGUGACACUCCCAAUGGGCCAAUGGCAAAGCAGUGAGCAGAGAACCCAGGCUCUGCGCACAGCCCAGGAGGAGAGCAGGACACAGGUCAGAUGCAGGGGAACAGGCCCAGCCAGAGGGAUGCACAAUGGAUUCCAGCAGGCAAGUGAUUGAAUGCGGAGCCCCCGCUCCAGGCGAGUGACUCCUGGGACCCCGCAGGGAACCUCCGUGGGAGUGAGGGGCACUGGGGCAGAGCCAGGGGACGUGGGAGAGGCUGCAGAGUGGCUGGGUCGGGGGGAAGACGGGGUUGCAGGUGCAGAAUGCCCAGAGGAACAAACGCUUGCGUGAGAUUGUUUUUAUUUAUCUGUAGAGCUGCUGCACAAUCAGCAGCCAGAGAGCUGCUCUGGCAGGGCCCUGGUCGACCCGGGCAGAACGUGGGGAGCAUGAGGGGCAGCAAGGCCCAGCCAGGCAAACAUUCAGGGCACGGCAGCCACAUGGCCAGGUGCCUUACGCUGGUGAGCUGCCUGGCGACUGGUGGGGAGGCAAAGGGCACGGGCGGGGGGGCACUGAAAGAAUGCUGAGGGGAGCAUCAUGUAUGUGGAAAAGGGUAUAUGCAUGCAGAUGGGGGUAAGGGGAGUGCUUGAGGCGCUGGGCAAGGGGUGCUGGGGUGGAUGGGGGAGGGGUACAUGUGUGAGGAUGGGGAGAGCGGUGCUGGGGUGGAUGGGGGAGGGGUA